UACGUAGGGACCAAGCGUUGUUCGGAUUUACUGGGCGUAAAGGGCGCGUAGGCGGCGUGGUAAGUCACUUGUGAAAUCUCUGAGCUUAACUCAGAACGGCCAAGUGAUACUGCUGUGCUAGAGUGCAGAAGAGGCAAUCGGAAUUCUUGGUGUAGCGGUGAAAUGCGUAGAUAUCAAGAGGAACACCUGAGGUGAAGACGGGUUGCUGGGCUGACACUGACGCUGAGGAGCGAAAGUGUGGGGAGCGAACAGG
rnacentral:rRNA from 1 species